rnacentral:rRNA from 1 species
UGUUGCUGGCCCUCUCCAAGGGGCAUGUGCACACCCGCCAUUCUCAUCUCUCCACUUGUGCACAUCUUGUAGACUUGGAUAGACUUUCCGAGGCAACUCGGUCGGGAAGAAUGCUGCACUCAGCUUUCUUUGCACUUCCAAGCCUACGUUUUUCAUAUACCCCAUAGUAUGUAACAGAAUGUAUAAUUGGGCCCUAGUGCCUAUAAACCUUAUACAACUUUCAGCAACGGAUCUCUUGGCUCUCGCAUCGAUGAAGAACGCAGCGAAAUGCGAUAAGUAAUGUGAAUUGCAGAAUUCAGUGAAUCAUCGAAUCUUUGAACGCACCUUGCGCUCCUUGGUAUUCCGAGGAGCAUGCCUGUUUUGAGUGUCAUAUAAUUCUCAACCUUUAUCAGCUUUGCUGAUUAAUGGCUUGGAUGUGGGGGUUCUCUUUUGCUGGCUUCUUCAGAGGUCAGCUCCCCUUAAAUGCAUUAGCUGGUGCCCCGCGUGGACUGUCUAUUUGGUGUGAUAAUUAUCUACGCCGUGGAUGUCUGCAA